CCUACGGGGGGCUGCAGUAAGGAAUAUUGGUCAAUGGGGGCAACCCUGAACCAGCCAUGCCGCGUGCAGGAAGACGGCCCUACGGGUUGUAAACUGCUUUUAUACGGGAAUAAAUCUCGCUACGUGUAGUGAGUUGAAUGUACUGUAAGAAUAAGGAUCGGCUAACUCCGUGCCAGCAGCCGCGGUAAUACGGAGGAUCCAAGCGUUAUCCGGAUUUAUUGGGUUUAAAGGGUGCGUAGGCGGCCUAUUAAGUCAGGGGUGAAAGACGGUGGCUCAACCAUCGCAGUGCCCUUGAUACUGAUGGGCUUGAUUACACUUGAGGUAGGCGGAAUGUGACAAGUAGCGGUGAAAUGCAUAGAUAUGUCACAGAACACCAAUUGCGAAGGCAGCUUACUAAGGUGUCACUGACGCUGAGGCACGAAAGCGUGGGGAUCAAACAGGCUUAGAUACCCGAGUAGUC
rnacentral:rRNA from 1 species